rnacentral:rRNA from 1 species
GNNGAGGGUGGCGGAAUUUCCAGGUGUNGGAGNGAANUNCGUAGAUAUNUGGAGGNACACCNGGUGGCGAAGGCGGCCACCUGGACGGUAACUGACGNUGAGGUGCGAAAGCGUGGGUAGCAAACAGGAUUAGAUACCNUGGUAGUNCCACGCNGUAAACGAUGGGUGCUGGGUGCUGGGAUGUAUGUNNUCGGUGCCGUAGNUAACGCGAUAAGCACCCCGCCUGGGGAGUACGGUCGCAAGGCUGAAACUCAAAGAAAUUGACGGGGGCCCGCACAAGCGGUGGAGUAUGUGGUUUAAUUCGAUGCAACGCGAAGAACCUUACCCAGGCUUGACAUCUAGGGAACCCUUCGGAAAUGAAGGGGUGCCCUUCGGGGAGCCCUAAGACAGGUGCUGCGUGGCUGUCGUCAGCUCGUGCCGUGAGGUGUUGGGUUAAGUCCCGCAACGAGCGCAACCCCUAUCUUCAGUUGCCAGCAGGUAAGGCUGGGCACUCUGGAGAGACCGCCCCGGUCAACGGGGAGGAAGGUGGGGACGACGUCAAGUCAUCAUGGCCCUUACGCCUGGGGCUACACACGUACUACAAUGGCGCGCACAAAGGGUAGCGAGACCGCGAGGUGGAGCCAAUCCCAAAAAACGCGUCCCAGUCCGGAUUGGAGUCUGCAACUCGACUCCAUGAAGUCGGAAUCGCUAGUAAUUCGAGAUCAGCAUGCUCGGGUGAAUGCGUUCCCGGGCCUUGUACACACCGCCCGUCACACCACGAAAGUCGGUUUUACCCGAAGCCGGUGAGCUAACUCGCAAGAGAAGCAGCCGUCUACGGUAGGGCCGAUGAUUGGGGUGAAGUCGUAACAAGGUAACAAUCACUAGUGAAUUCGCGGCCGCCUGCAGGUCGACCAUAUGGGAGAGCUCCCNACNC